CCAGACUCCUACGGGAGGCAGCAGUAGGGAAUCUUCGGCAAUGGACGGAAGUCUGACCGAGCAACGCCGCGUGAGUGAAGAAGGUUUUCGGAUCGUAAAGCUCUGUUGUAAGAGAAGAGCGAGUGUGAGAGUGGAAAGUUCACACUGUGACGGUAUCUUACCAGAAAGGGACGGCUAACUACGUGCCAGCAGCCGCGGUAAUACGUAGGUCCCGAGCGUUGUCCGGAUUUAUUGGGCGUAAAGCGAGCGCAGGCGGUUAGAUAAGUCUGAAGUUAAAGGCUGUGGCUUAACCAUAGUACGCUUUGGAAACUGUUUAACUUGAGUGCAAGAGGGGAGAGUGGAGUUCCAUGUGUAGCGGUGAAAUGCGUAGAUAUAUGGAGGAACACCGGUGGCGAAAGCGGCUCUCUGGCUUGUAACUGACGCUGAGGCUCGAAAGCGUGGGGAGCAAACAGGAUUAGAUACCCUGGUAGUCCACGCCGUAAACGAUGAGUGCUAGGUGUUAGACCCUUUCCGGGGUUUAGUGCCGCAGCUAACGCAUUAAGCACUCCGCCUGGGGAGUACGACCGCAAGGUUGAAACUCAAAGGAAUUGACGGGGGCCCGCACAAG
rnacentral:rRNA from 1 species